GACGAACGCUGGCGGCGUGCCUAAUACAUGCAAGUUGAGCGCUGAAGGUUGGUACUUGUGCCGACUGGAUGAGCAGCGAACGGGUGAGUAACGCGUGGGGAAUCUGCCUUUGAGCGGGGGACAACAUUUGGAAACGAAUGCUAAUACCGCAUAAAAACUUUAAACACAAGUUUUAAGUUUGAAAGAUGCAAUUGCAUCACUCAAAGAUGAUCCCGCGUUGUAUUAGCUAGUUGGUGAGGUAAAGGCUCACCAAGGCGAUGAUACAUAGCCGACCUGAGAGGGUGGUCGGCCCCAUUGGGACUGGGACCCGGCCCAAACCCCUACGGGAGGCAGCAGUAGGGAAUCUUCGGCCAUGGACGAAAGUCUGACCGCGCCACGCCGCGUGAGUGAAGAAGGUUUUCGGAUCGUAAAACUCUGUUGGUAGAGAAGAACGUUGGUGAGAGUGGAAAGCUCAUCAAGUGACGGUAACUACCCAGAAAGGGACGGCUAACUACGUG
rnacentral:rRNA from 1 species